GACGAACGCUGGCGGCGUGCCUAACACAUGCAAGUCGAGCGAAUGAAGUUCCUUCGGGAAUGGAUUUAGCGGCGGACGGGUGAGUAACACGUGGGCAACCUGCCUCAUAGAGGGGCAUAGCCUCCCGAAAGGGAGCUUAAUACCGCAUAAGAUUGUAGUACCGCAUGAUACAGCAAUUAAAGGAGCAAUCCGCUAUGAGAUGGGCCCGCGGCGCAUUAGCUAGUUGGCGAGGUAAUGGCUCACCAAGGCGACGAUGCGUAGCCGGCCUGAGAGGGUGAUCGGCCACAUUGGGACUGAGACACGGCCCAGACUCCUACGGGAGGCAGCAGUGGGGAAUAGUGCACAAUGGGGGAAACCCUGAUGCAGCAACGCCGCGUGAGUGAUGACGGCCGGCGGGUUGUAAAGCGCUGUCUUCAGGGACGAUAAUGACGGUACCUGAGGAGGAAGCCACGGCUAACUACGUG
rnacentral:rRNA from 1 species